GAAUUACCAGCCUGCUGAGUGAGGAGAAGACACUCACGAUCAAUCUCAAUUAUCACACGGAGUCAUCGACGGGAAAGUUCAUGCGAUCAAAGCCUGAAGUGUGAAGUACACGACUUGAACCAUCCAAACAGCAAGGCAAAGCAUAGGUGACAAACAUCGAUCCAGGAUCCACUCGUAGAUAUAUGGUGCGCCCGAUCGAAGCAGUACCGUUAUCAAUAACAACGACAAGCCCUCAAAAGAGGGCUUUUUUUUCUUUACCCAAUCUGAUCUUCGUGCUUCGACGACACUUCUACAGUGGGUAGCUACUAUCGGCCGGACGAGGACCGUAUUGAUUGAACCGUAUUCAUUGAGACCUGCGUCGCGCGCAGAAUCACCAGAUCGACAGGCCUGGUCACGUAGGCCGACUCGGACUUGAUUGCUGAUCCCGAGACGUACGAGCACUUGCUCAAAGACAAGCAGCAUCGGCAAGACAUCCAGAUAGUGCGAGUGUAACAUCCAAUUCGCGAUAGGCUACGGCCUUCGAUUUGUGCGUGUUUGUAACCAGCAAUGAUG